rnacentral:rRNA from 1 species
AACGUAGGACGCAAGCGUUAUCCGGAGUUACUGGGCGUAAAGCGUGCGCAGGCGGUUCGUUAAGUCAGAUGUGAAAGCCCCGGGCUCAACCUGGGAACUGCAUUUGAAACUGGCGGGCUUGAGUGUGGCAGAGGGGGGUGGAAUUCCGCGUGUAGCAGUGAAAUGCGUAGAGAUGCGGAGGAACACCGAUGGCGAAGGCAGCCCCCUGGGCCAACACUGACGCUCAGGCACGAAAGCGUGGGGAGCAAACAGG